GCAGAGGCGAGGUGGAAGUCGGCGGACCUUAUUCCAGCUAAUAUCCAGCGUCUCCAGUGUGCCGAGUUUGCCGACGUGGUCAGACACUUCACUGAUGGCCCUUGUGGUCCAUGGCGAGUCAAAGCAUUUCCCUAAAAUGUUUACAAACAACUCGAUCUUAGAAGACGUCCCUGGGAACUUAAACCAAAAGCUGCUGGCCACCAUAAAGAUCAUGCUGUGGAUGACAACCAGGUGACUGCAGUCCACAUCUUCUCUGGAAGCAUCUGUGACUCGAUUUGGCAGACAGGAAAUCUUGUCCUGAGUCAGCUGAGGAGAGAACAAAAUGUACUUUUGAUAUAACAGCUGAAAAAUCCUCAAAGAUGAAUGUGUGUUUCUGCCACAACAGGCAGGUGCAAGAUUAAAGAUAUAGUCAAAGACUUUUGCACCCUAUCAGCAUCACUCCAGAAACCUGGAAGAAGGACCCUGAUAAGUUAGUUUACGUCAUUCAUCAAGGGCUUAAUAUAGUUGUGUGUAGGUCCUACGGUGACAAUGGAGGCUACGUGUCGGUUUUCAUAUACUUGUGUGUCGUGGUCUGCGCUGACAUGUGAACACACAUGCAGACUGCUGGUAGGCAGUAUCCACGUGUGUAAUCCACAGUAGCAGCAAAACAGCAAAAGAAACAGCAGCUUGGCCAGAAAAACUCACAAAGAAGCAGCAGCAGCUUGUCGUGUAUGAUUUGAGAAGACCAGCAGUGAUGGAAGUAAAAUUACUCCUCAACUUGACCCAUCUUUGUACAUCACAAGCAGAAAUACCUAUGAAGGAAUACGACGCAGAUAUUUUUCUACACAUCUGCGUCAACAUUUAUCAAAACACCACUGAUCUACUGGCCGUCGUUCAACGUGAUGCCCGGCCGAUGCCUGACCAACGACCACCGACGGAACCCGUUUAUUCUCCUUAUCCGUUUACAAACCGU